UACGUAGGGUGCAAGCGUUAUCCGGAAUUAUUGGGCGUAAAGAGCUCGUAGGCGGUUUGUCGCGUCGGAUGUGAAACCUCGGGGCUCAACCCCGAGCCUGCAUUCGAUACGGACAGACUAGAGUGUUGCAGGGGAGACUGGAAUUCCUGGUGUAGCGGUGAAAUGCGCAGAUAUCAGGAGGAACACCGGUGGCGAAGGCGGGUCUCUGGGCAACAACUGACGCUGAGGAGCGAAAGCGUGGGGAGCGAACAGG
rnacentral:rRNA from 1 species